rnacentral:rRNA from 1 species
UACAGAGGUCUCAAGCGUUGUUCGGAUUCAUUGGGCGUAAAGGGUGCGUAGGCGGCGCGGUAAGUCGGGUGUGAAAUCUCGGAGCUUAACUCCGAAACUGCAUUCGAUACUGCCGUGCUUGAGGACUGGAGAGGAGACUGGAAUUUACGGUGUAGCGGUGAAAUGCGUAGAUAUCAGGAGGAACACCUGUGGCGAAAAGCGGCUCACUGGACCAUAACUGACGCUGAUGCACGAAAGCUAGGGGAGCAAACAGG